GAUGAACGCUGGCGGCGUGCCUAAUACAUGCAAGUCGAGCGAACGGACGAGGAGCUUGCUCCUCUGACGUUAGCGGCGGACGGGUGAGUAACACGUGGAUAACCUACCUAUAAGACUGGGAUAACUUCGGGAAACCGGAGCUAAUACCGGAUAAUAUAUUGAACCGCAUGGUUCAAUAGUGAAAGACGGUUUUGCUGUCACUUAUAGAUGGAUCCGCGCCGCAUUAGCUAGUUGGUAAGGUAACGGCUUACCAAGGCAACGAUGCGUAGCCGACCUGAGAGGGUGAUCGGCCAAACUGGAACUGAGACACGGUCCAGACUCCUACGGGAGGCAGCAGUAGGGAAUCUUCCGCAAUGGGCGAAAGCCUGACGGAGCAACGCCGCGUGAGUGAUGAAGGUCUUCGGAUCGUAAAACUCUGUUAUUAGGGAAGAACAAAUGUGUAAGUAACUAUGCACGUCUUGACGGUACCUAAUCAGAAAGCCACGGCUAACUACG
rnacentral:rRNA from 1 species